UACGUAGGGGCCAAGCGUUGUCCGGAAUUAUUGGGCGUAAAGAGCUCGUAGGCGGUUUGUCGCGUCUGCUGUGAAAUUUCGGGGCUCAACCCCGAACUUGCAGUGGGUACGGGCAGACUAGAGUGUGGUAGGGGAGACUGGAAUUCCUGGUGUAGCGGUGAAAUGCGCAGAUAUCAGGAGGAACACCGAUGGCGAAGGCAGGUCUCUGGGCCAUAACUGACGCUGAGAAGCGAAAGCAUGGGGAGCGAACAGG
rnacentral:rRNA from 1 species